rnacentral:rRNA from 1 species
UAGGGAAUCUUCCACAAUGGGCGCAAGCCUGAUGGAGCAACACCGCGUGAGUGAAGAAGGGUUUCGGCUCGUAAAGCUCUGUUGUUAAAGAAGAACACGUAUGAGAGUAACUGUUCAUGCGUUGACGGUAUUUAACCAGAAAGUCACGGCUAACUACGUGCCAGCAGCCGCGGUAAUACGUAGGUGGCAAGCGUUAUCCGGAUUUAUUGGGCGUAAAGAGAGUGCAGGCGGUUUUCUAAGUCUGAUGUGAAAGCCUUCGGCUUAACCGGAGAAGUGCAUCGGAAACUGGAUAACUUGAGUGCAGAAGAGGGUAGUGGAACCCCAUGUGUAGCGGUGGAAUGCGUAGAUAUAUGGAAGAACACCAGUGGCGAAGGCGGCUACCUGGUCUGCAACUGACGCUGAGACUCGAAAGCAUGGGUAGCGAACAGGAUUAGAUACCCUGGUAGUCCAUGCCGUAAACGAUGAGUGCUAGGUGUUGGAGGGUUUCCGCCCUUCAGUGCCGGAGCUAACGCAUUAAGCACUCCGCCUGGGGAGUACGACCGCAAGGUUG